AAUAUUUCCAGAAUAUUUGGUUCCCUAACCAGGACUAAUUUCCUAGGCUCCCCAACAGGACACAGAGACCCGCUCACCAGCUGAGGGUCACCCGAACCCAAGAUGGAAGAUGACAGAAGGAGGGCCAUUGCUCUUGGUGUCUCAUCUGUCUCUUUCCUUUGCUGGAAAACCCAUCCAACACCUGGUGUUUGAACAGGGACCUGAAAGAUCCCAAGAUGAUUGUCUGAGGUGGCAGCAGGCAGAAUCC
rnacentral:lncRNA from 1 species